rnacentral:rRNA from 1 species
GGACUACCCGGGUAUCUAAUCCCGUUCGCUCCCCUGGCUUUCGUGUCUCAGCGUCAGCACACCCCCAGCUACCUGAUUUCUCCGUUGGCGUUCCAAAUGAUAUCUACGCAUUUCACCGCUCCACCAUUUGUUCCGGUAGCCCCUAGGUGGCUCAAGACCCCCAGUAUACCCAGCCGUUCCACGGGUGAGCCGUGGGAUUUCACAAGGUACUUAGGGGUCCGCCUACACACGCUUUAAGCCCAGUGAUUCCGCCUAACGCUCGAGGCCUCUGUAUUACCGCGGCUGCUGGCAC